rnacentral:tRNA from 1 species
GCCGCCUUAGCUCAACGGUAGAGCAGCCGCUUCGUAAGCGGCAGGUUCAGGGUUCGAGUCCCUGAGGCGGCUCCA